CCAGACUCCUACGGGAGGCAGCAGUGAGGAAUAUUGGUCAAUGGCCGAGAGGCUGAACCAGCCAAGUCGCGUGAGGGAAGAAUGUCCUAUGGAUUGUAAACCUCUUUUGUCAGGGAGCAAUUGGCGCUACGUGUAGCGUUAUCGAGAGUACCUGAAGAAAAAGCAUCGGCUAACUCCGUGCCAGCAGCCGCGGUAAUACGGAGGAUGCGAGCGUUAUCCGGAUUUAUUGGGUUUAAAGGGUGCGUAGGCGGAAUGCCAAGUCAGCGGUAAAAUCGCGGGGCUCAACCUCGCUCCGCCGUUGAAACUGGCGUUCUUGAGUGGGCGAGAAGAAGGCGGAAUGCGUGGUGUAGCGGUGAAAUGCAUAGAUAUCACGCAGAACCCCGAUUGCGAAGGCAGCCUUCCGGCGCCCUACUGACGCUGAGGCACGAAAGUGCGGGGAUCGAACAGGAUUAGAUACCCCUGUAGCG
rnacentral:rRNA from 1 species